rnacentral:rRNA from 1 species
UACGUAGGUGGCGAGCGUUGUCCGGAUUUACUGGGCGUAAAGGGAGCAUAGGCGGAUUUUUAAGUGAGAUGUGAAAUACUCGGGCUCAACUUGAGUGCUGCAUUUCAAACUGGAAGUCUAGAGUGCAGGAGAGGAGAAUGGAAUUCCUAGUGUAGCGGUGAAAUGCGUAGAGAUUAGGAAGAACACCAGUGGCGAAGGCGAUUCUCUGGACUGUAACUGACGCUGAGGCUCGAAAGCGUGGGGAGCAAACAGG